UACGUAGGGUGCGAGCGUUAAUCGGAAUACUGGCGUAAAGCGUGCGCAGGCGGUUAUGUAAGACAGAUGUGAAAUCCCCGGGCUCAACCUGGGAACUGCAUUUGUGACUGCAUGGCUAGAGUACGGUAGAGGGGGAUGGAAUUCCGGCGUGUAGCAGUGAAAUGCGUAGAUAUGCGGAGGAACACCGAUGGCGAAGGCAAUCCCCUGGACCUGUACUGACGCUCAUGCACGAAGCGUGGGAGCA
rnacentral:rRNA from 1 species